AUUGAACGCUGGCGGCAGGCUUAACACAUGCAAGUCGAGCGGGGGAAGGUAGCUUGCUACCGGACCUAGCGGCGGACGGGUGAGUAAUGCUUAGGAAUCUGCCUAUUAGUGGGGGACAACAUCUCGAAAGGGAUGCUACUACCGCAUAUGUCCUACGGGAGAAAGCAGGGGAUCUUCGGACCUUGCGCUAAUAGAUGAGCCUAAGUCGGAUUAGCUAGUUGGUGGGGUAAAGGCCUACCAAGGCGACGAUCUGUAGCGGGUCUGAGAGGAUGAUCCGCCACACUGGGACUGAGACACGGCCCAGACUCCUACGGGAGGCAGCAGUGGGGAAUAUUGGACAAUGGGGGGAACCCUGAUCCAGCCAUGCCGCGUGUGUGAAGAAGGCCUUAUGGUUGUAAAGCACUUUAAGCGAGGAGGAGGCUACUCUAGUUAAUACCUAGGGAUAGUGGACGUUACUCGCAGAAUAAGCACCGGCUAACUCUGUGCCAGCAGCCGCGGUAA
rnacentral:rRNA from 1 species